UAGGUCGACCCGCUGAAUUUAAGCAUAUCAAUAAGCGGAGGAAGAGAAACCAACCAGGAUUCCCUCAGUAACGGCGAGCGAAGUGGGAAGAGCUCAGGCUGCCAAUCUCCGGCCGAGAGGUCGGCGAAUUGUGGUCUGGAGACGCCAACUGUCCUUGCUCGCUUCCCUGGCCCGAAGUUGACCUGGAACGGCGCGUCAGAGAGGGUGACAGUCCCGUAGGGCCGUGUGUGGGAAGCGGGUGGACGUCAUUUGGCGCUCGGCGAGUCGGGUUGUUUGGGAAUGCAGCCCAAAGUGGGUGGUAAACUCCAUCCAAAGCUAAACAGCGGCACGAGACCGAUAGCGAACAAGUACC
rnacentral:rRNA from 1 species